rnacentral:rRNA from 1 species
UACGUAGGGGGCGAGCGUUGUCCGGAUUUAUUGGGCGUAAAGAGCUCGUAGGCGGUUCGAUAAGUCGGAUGUGAAAUCUCCACGCUCAACCUGGAGGGGUCAUUCGAUACUGCCGUGACUAGAGUUCGGUAGGGGAGUGUGGAAUUCCUGGUGGAGCGGUGAAAUGCGCAGAUAUCAGGAGGAACACCCGUAGCGAAGGCGGCACUCUGGGCCGAUACUGACACUGAGGAGCGAAAGCGUGGGGAGCGAACAGG